AAGUAUUCUUUUCCUUUCACGUUCAAGCUUCUUUUUCUCUGCUUUCUGUGCAAUUACGAAGCCACCUCCCCUUUUGAUCAUCUCUUUCAAAUAAAAGCUGACCCAAAAAGAAAAGAAAAAUCUUUGUUAAAAGAAAGAUACAGGCAGAAAGGAAAAGAAAAGAGCAAAAGCAGAGGAUUCCAUAAUUUCCAUUUCCUUUUUUUUUUUUGAAUCCUCUGAUCUGUAUGUCAAUCUGGCAAGUCAUUCAUUUUAUUUCUAUCUGUUCCUUCUAUGAGUUUCAAACUUUGACAUCAAUCUCUUGCCUUUCUGUUGUGUUCUGCUUCUCAGGUGUUGAAUUUGAUCAUCAUCUGAUGGCUCUGUAUUUCAUUUGAUUGGAUUUUUAAGGUGGGUUUUUGCUCAUAUUGCCAAUUUUCAGCUCCUUUUGUAGGUUUUCUUAUGUCAUGUUUAGUAAUUGAGUUUCAUGGAUCUAGUGCAUUUUAGUUAAUUUCUAUUUAUUUUUUUUUUGCUAAAAAGAUGGUUGUGAUAGGAGAAGGACAGGGAGAGAGAGAGAGAGCGAGAAUGGGUAUUGAUGCAAUGAAAAUUAGAGUUCAAAUUAGGAAAUUUUCGGUGAUUUUAUUUAGAUUAUGUUAUAGAUCAGUUUGUAAACACCCUUUUCUUGUGGGCAUGGUUUGUUACUUGUUAUUGUUGUAUAGUUCAUUUCCUGUCUUGUUUUCCCUUUUAGUCUCUGCAUCCCCUGUUUUGAUUUGUACUGCAAUUUUGCUUGGGACCCUUUUGUGUUUUGGGGAGCCAAAUGCUCCUGAUAUUGAAACGGAAAAGGAAGAAGAAGAAGUUAGCCAUGAGAUUUUGUCUUUGAAAAAGGAAGGGGUUGUAGAGGAUGCCACUUUUGUUGUUCAGAAAGAUGAGAGCUUUAGAUUAGAGAGAUAUGUAGGGAACAUAGACAUUGAAAAAGAGAGCUUGGUAGAGAGCAACAAUAAAAUGAUUGAGGGUCAUGGUUAUUUAGGAGAUUAUGUGCCGCUGAUUUAUGAAACUUUGUGGGAAGUUCAAUUUGAGAAGCAAGUUAUUGAGGAAGUGAAGAGUGAUUUUGAUAAUUUAGAGUCAGGAAAGAAGAGGGAAAUUCAAGAGGAGAAUCUUGAGAUCAUGGAAGGGACAAGUCAUGAGGAGGGCACUGAGGAUCAAUAUUCUUUGCUCCAAAACUUUAGAGAUGAGAACCUUGAAGAUAAUUCAGCGGUAGAGUUUAAUGAAACUCAAAAUGGUUACUUAGAAUUUUCGCAGGAAUCAUCUUGGAAACCUGCAAAUCAUGAUGAUGAAGAAGAUGAUGAUGAGGCUUCUGAUUUUGGAUCUGAUGGGGCGGAAAAUUCCUCUCCAGAUGCUUCAAUGGCAGACAUUCUUCUAAUGCUUGAUGAGCUUAACCCACUUUUAGAUGAGGAAGCUCCUCGACCAGCUCAUAUAUCUCAUGAUGGAUCUGAUGCUGGUUCAGAGGGGUCUCAUAAGAGUGAUGAGAGGAGUAUUGAGUCAGAGGAGGAUGUGGAAAACCAGGCAGAUGAGGAUGAAGAUGGCGAUGAUGAUAAUGAUAACAAAGAAGAAGCACAGGGAAGUAAAGAGGAUGAAAGUAAAUCUGCUAUCAAAUGGACAGAGGAUGACCAGAAAAAUCUCAUGGAUUUGGGGACUUUAGAACUUGAAAGAAAUCUGCGUUUGGAGAGUCUUAUUUCAAGGAGAAGGGCUUGCAGAAACAUGAGAUUGAUGGCUGAGAAGAAUCUUAUAGACUUGGAUGCUGCUGAUCUUCCCAUUAAUGUUCCAUCCAUUUCAACAGCUAGGCAGAACCCAUUUGAUUUUCCUUACAAUGAUGUUCCUGGGUCCGCUCCAUCUGUAUUGUUGCCAAGACAAAAUCCUUUUGACCUUCCCUACAACUCACAUGAGGAAAAGCCUGAUCUUAAGGGGGAUAGUUUUCAACAGGGAUUCUCAACAAUUCAGCAUAGGGAAUCAUUUUUUCGAAGGCCUGAAAGUUUCAGUGUCAGGCCAUCAACUUUGGGGGGUGCCUGGCAAGAGAGGCAAGACCUUCAGUGGAAGCCUUAUUUUGUUCCUGAACGAUUUACUACUGAAGGAACUAGUUAUCACACUUUCCAGCAGCAAUUAAGUGAGGCUAGCGACUCAAAGGUGAGCUCAGUUCCAGAUAGCGAGUCUAUUAGUUCAGCUCUGGAGGAGGAGGACAAGAGGAUCAAUGAAGUAGAUGUUUCUCAUGAAACAGAAAUGAUUUCCAAUGUUGACCAUGCCUCUCUCCUUGUUGAACCAGGAAGUUUAUCAUCUGAAGAGGUUGAUUCUGUGGAUGAUGAACAGGUUGGGGAGGGUGAUUUUCACCUUGAUGGGGCUGAAAUCACACCAGGGGUCUUUGAAAACCAUCAUGAAGUAGAUUCUGGCUUGUCGGAAUCAGAAGGGGCAACUCCUAAGGAGCUUAACCCAAGUGAAAUUCUUCUGCGUAUGGGACCUGGUGAGGAGGAUUACAGCAGUAGAUCAAGCCUAUCCUCAUUGUCAGAGAUAGAUGAAAAAAUAUCUGAUGUGAAAAGAGGAUCAAUGUGUCUUGAGCCAGCAAACUUUCAGAUUGAGGGUUCUCACAUUUCAACCCAAACUUCACUUGAUUCUGAUUUUCAUUUUGUGAGUGGGUUGGCAGAUGAUAAUGAAUACAGGGAGCCUAUUUUGGAGUCCAGAAAUGAUCAUAUUGACGAAUGUGACAUCUCAACACAAUCUUCUCUUGAUUCAGAUUUUCAUUUUACAAGUCGGAUGAUGGAUGAAAGUUCACAUAGGGAGCCUGCUGUGGAGUCAACAGGCUAUCAAAUUGCGGAUUCUGGUAUUUUGAAGGAAAGUUCACCAGAGUUUGAUUUAUAUGUAAUGAGUGGACUGGCAGAUGACAAUCAAGAACAUGUUUUGGAGCCAAGAGGCCAUCAUAUUGUGGAAUCUGGCAUUUCAUCAGAGACUUCUCAUAAUUCAGAUUUCCAUUUGACAACUGCAGUGGUGGAUGACGGUCAACAUAGUGAUACCGUUUAUGAUUCAAGCCCCCCAUCAAUUGAGACUUUUCUCUCUUUUUCCUCUCUUUCUUCUGACACACACAGAUCAGAAAUGGGUUCACCUCUGGCAAUGGUUGAAGAUAAAGAAUCUGAAGCACAUAUUGAGAGCUUGGAGAAGGGUGCUUCUGGUUACAAAGAGAUGCUUGAAGGCUCUUCACAAGAACAAUUACCAGAUGAAAGUGAAAUAGGAUCAGGAGUUGUAGAAAAUACUGGGGAUGAGAUUACAGAGCUUGGGCUGUCUGGAGUGGAUUCAAAUUUUUAUGGUCAAAAUGGGGUCAUGAAGCCUGAAUCAGCUGUUGAGAAUGUUUCUGUUGAUUCUCCUGCAUCUUUGUCAGACGAUGGAUCAGCAGAGGAGGUUGUAGCCUAUAAGGAAGAAAGCUCUCAUCACAAACAGGAUCAACUGCACUCAUUGAGUCUUGUUACAGAAAUCGUUGUUGAUGGGAAUAAGCCGCUGGAUUCUGCCUAUUCUAGUUAUAAGAUGACUUCCGAAGAGUGCAAUUUGCCUGUACUGGAAAAAGAUUAUCCUCCACUGGUAGUUGAGCAGGUUUCAGCAGACACUGAAUUAUCUGCUUCAGAGGCUAAACCUGUCAAGGACCAUGGACUUAUUACUGAAAAAAGUCUUGGGCUUGAGCAGGAUCAAGUCUUAGAACACUAUAAUUACCCAGGAGAAACAUGUGGCCCCCCCAUUUAUGAGGAUAAUGUGAACGAAGAGGAAGAUGAGAUGAAGGAGAUUGAUGAAGAAUUGUUGUCAGAAUUGGAUACAGUUGGGGACUUUAGUGUAAAAGAAGUUGUUGGCGAGUCACUCCAUGACGAACAAGUACCUGAAAAUACUAGUGUUAGUCCUGAAUUUAGUUUCUUGCCAAAAAAUUCAAGCCAGACGGAGGUCAAGCCAGAGCUUCCAGUCCUUGAAGUUAGAUCAGUUGAAGAUAUUGACUUGGCUUUCAAGCAACUUCAUGAAGGAGUAAAUGUUGAGGAGGUCAUCCUUCCAAGUAUGGUUGAGGAGCAGUUAGCUGAGGAUGAACAUAAACUUCAAACUAAUUCAGAUUUGUGAGUUGUUGAAGCAAACUCCUUAGAAGAUAUUCAUAUUGCAAUGAAGCUAGUCGCAGAAGAGAAUUUUGAGGAACUGGUGGAUUCAAGGGAUGCAACAGCAGAAGUAAAUGACUUGGCAUCUACCAAGGAGAUCCUGGUCCUUGAAGCUAAAACGAUUGAAGACAUUGACUUGGCUUUCAGGCAACUUCAUGAAGGAGUAGAAGUUGAGGAGGUCAUCCUUCCCAGUGCAAUUGAGCAGCAACUAGUGGUGGAUGAUACCAAAGAUCUUGGGCAAACCUGUUCAGGCUUGCCAGUUGUUGAAGCAAGAUCUUUGAAGGAUAUUCAUAUCGCCAUGAAGCUGGUUUCAGAGGGAAAUACUGAGGAGCUGCCAAAGUUGUUGGAUCCGAAUGAUAAACCAGGACAUGAAGUGGCUUCUAUCAAGGAGAUUGAUUCUAGGGAUUCACAGAUAAAUGAAGAGGAUGCCACUGAGGAUAUUGAAUCAAGUACUGUAGAAGUAAAUGGAGUGAAUUCCACCAAUGCUGUGGAAUCAAGCUCUGUACAAGUAACUUAAGUGGCCUCCAUCAAGGAGAGUGAACCGAGCACCACUGAGUUUGGUGUUGGAGAAACCAGUACAAUUGCUCCUCAUGAACCCGAGCAUGGAUUUGAUGAAGCAUCUUGAAAUUCAAGUUCGAGCAUAUUGGAUGCCAAGGGCUGGAAGGAAAAAUCUCAUAGUUCAAGCGCUAGUUCCAUCUCAAGCUUGAGCUCAGGUGAUUCAGAUGGAGGAUAAGCAUUGUAGAAGAGAAAA